rnacentral:rRNA from 1 species
UACGUAGGGUGCAAGCGUUAUCCGGAUUCACUGGGUUUACAGGGUGCGUAGGUGGGUCUGUAAGUCCGUGGUGAAAUCUCCGAGCUUAACUUGGAAACUGCCAUGGAUACUAUAGGUCUUGAAUAUUGUGGAGGUCAGCGGAAUAUGUCAUGUAGCGGUGAAAUGCUUAGAGAUGACAUAGAACACCAAUUGCGAAGGCAGCUGGCUACGCAUAUAUUGACACUGAGGCUCGAAAGCGUGGGGAUCAAACAGG